rnacentral:rRNA from 1 species
GACGAACGCUGGCGGCGUGCCUAAUACAUGCAAGUAGAACGCUGAAGAGAGGAGCUUGCUCUUCUUGGAUGAGUUGCGAACGGGUGAGUAACGCGUAGGUAACCUGCCUGGUAGCGGGGGAUAACUAUUGGAAACGAUAGCUAAUACCGCAUAAAAUGGAUUAUCGCAUGAUAAUCCAUUGAAAGGUGCAAAUGCAUCACUACCAGAUGGACCUGCGUUGUAUUAGCUAGUUGGUGGGGUAACGGCUCACCAAGGCGACGAUACAUAGCCGACCUGAGAGGGUGAUCGGCCACACUGGGACUGAGACACGGCCCAGACUCCUACGGGAGGCAGCAGUAGGGAAUCUUCGGCAAUGGACGGAAGUCUGACCGAGCAACGCCGCGUGAGUGAAGAAGGGUUUCGGAUCGGAAAGCUCUGUUGUAAGAGAAGAACGAGUGUGAGAGUGGAAAGUUCACACUGUGACGGUAGCUUACCAGAAAGGGACGGCUAACUACGUG